rnacentral:rRNA from 1 species
CGGUAAUACGGAGGGUGCGAGCGUUACCCGGAUUUACUGGGCGUAAAGGGCGUGUAGGCGGUUAUGUAAGUCCGAUGUGAAAGACCGAAGCUCAACUUCGGGGACGCGUUGGAUACUGCAAGACUAGACGGCUGGAGGGGGUAGCGGAAUUUCCGGAGUAGCGGUGAAAUGCGCAGAUACCGGAAGGAACGCCAAUAGCGAAGGCAGCUACCUGGACAGCACGUGACGCUGAGGCGCGAAAGCGUGGGGAGCAAACCGGAUUAGAUACCCGGGUAGUCCACGCCCUAAGCGAUGAGUGCUGGGUGUCCGGCGUAUGCUGGGUGCCGAAGCCAACGCGUUAAGCACUCCGCCUGGGAAGUACGGUCGCAAGACUGAAACUCAAAGGAAUUGACGGGGGCCCACACAAGCGGUGGAGCAUGUGGUUUAAUUCGAAGGAACGCGAAGAACCUUACCAGGCCUUGACAUCUGGGGGAUGUUGGUGAAAGCCGACGGUGCCCGCAAGGGAACCCCAAGACAGGUGCUGCAUGGCUGUCGUCAGCUCGUGUCGUGAGAUGUUGGGUUAAGUCCCGCAAC